ensembl:lncRNA
CAGAAAUAAAGCUGUACAUGUUGGAUAUUUGAAUACUCAGUGUUUUUCUUCUUGACUAAUGACAUGAGUAAGUGAUGUAUCAAAUUUGGCACUGUGCUGACAACUUCUCGAGGCUAUGAAAAACGUCUGGGAAACCUUUCGAACAGCAGGGGGCGUCACCGUACAGGGAAGCUACUGAAGAUCCAGAGGAUUAGUAAAGGUUCGUUGGCUUCCUUGCGAGUGCCAUUGUUGGCUAAAUAAAUGUCCAGUACGUUUUCGGAGGGCUAUUUCUGAACAAUCUUGUUUUACUUGAGAUGGGUCGUUUUAAACGUCGUGGUUUUGACACCAUCACCACAAAACAAGGACAAAGCAGCACGAAUGGGCGCAAGGACACACCUCGGAAGUCCGAUGGAAAAAGAGGCAAAAUGAAGCGACUCCUCUCUAAACCCUGCAAUCCACUGCAUAAGGGACUUGUCCUGUCGCCCAUAAAUGAGUCAACAUGCACAGAUCACAGAAAUGUCCCAACAGCUGCUACCCAGAGGAACAGAACGCUUGAGUCGAAAGACGCUGUGGCCGCACCCAAUUCAAGCACCGAUGACUCUUCCAAUUUUCCAGAAGGUGUUUCUUCCCAACUGACAGAUGGGACUGACUCAGGUGAUACUAGUACCAGCAGUGUGCAGUCGCCGGAGGUGUUCCGAAGAGGGGAUGUCUACGAAGAGAUGGUGGUCUUCCCGAGAGAGGUGUUGGACCUGCAUGUAAAGAACUCGACUCUCCUAGAUGUUAGCCAUGCUGAGAACAUCAACAUGCAGCAGCCUCCUAACCUGUCUUCCAUAGUAGACAUCUCCCAAAUGACACAGGCAAUAGAUCAGGAAAUAAGCCAGCUAGCACUGCCCAUUAGGUGGACAUCUUCGGAUAAGCUGUUCAAUUCCAUGGAAAAAACACCUCUAGCUGAAAGAGCAACUGUGCCCUCAGUCCCGACAAAAAAAAGGUCAGGGACUGUUCGACCCAUGAAGAUCAAAUGCAGAAAGAGGGUAACAUUCAGUUACCCUGUUGCCAAGAAGAUAGAAGUGAAAAAGGUGGAGGCUGCCAGUCGCUACACAGUUAGUGAGAGCACCAGUGAGACAAUAGUUUACUGUAAGGCCGCUUCGCUUGAAGAAGUUUCAAAAGUCAUUAAAAGAAACACACAUCACUCCCUGGAGCAAGCAAAGUUCUUUGACUUUGCAGACGAAAAGGAAAGGGAGACUUUUGUUGAAAUGUUGAGGAAGAAGAAGUCCAUCAUGAGUGUAAGCAUUGUCUUUAAUCAAUCUCUACGUGAAGGCAUAUGCAAUAUUCCAGGACAUUUCUGUCAUUGUAUGUUGAUUGAAAUUGUUCAGGUGUUUUUUUUUUUCUUCACCAGAGUAUAUUUAGCCUUGCUGGUCAACUUUCGACAGAAUCAUUUGAAGAGGAGGGUGACAUGUUUGACAGGAGUUUGUCCUAAUGAAUAUCUGUCAGUUCCACAUGGUUCUUCUGACUCUGGUUGCUCUGCACAAAAGGGUAUUGCAGAAAUGUGUCAUUACCUAGAAUGUCCAGUGGAGGUCAUGCCUGUCUUUGUGAGACAUUCAAGUCUGUCCACUCAGGUAUUUUACUGAGUAGGGCCAGGAGUAGUAUGAGAACAAGACCUGUUCAUGGUGGUCUAAUAAAAUUCACUAGUUGCUUUUGCUGUUAUUCCACAUGGUGUCCAUGGUGAACUUGUCUACAAAUUUAUGGAAAGUACAUACAUACAUUUGUAUGUAUUUUGGUAGAUGCAAUGUAUUGAAAUUGCCGCUUUUUUUUCUGAGCAUUGCCCACAAAAACGUAUUGGAUCCAAUUAUAUUAUGCCACCUUUCAAAUCACAGUCAAACAUCAAUGUUUGAGUGUACACGUUCCACUCUACUUCCUGUCUUCUUCAGCGUGCUGCCAAACUGCGAGACUGAUUAGCUGGAUAAACAGGUCUGAAAAGACAGUCGUGUGCAAUGAGUGAGACACAACAUGAAAUCCAUUGGGCUUUGAUUUGAUAGUGGGUGGUAGUGACAAAUUGUAUUUAAUUCCUAUUUCCGGGUCACCCCUAAGCAAAGCAAACCCACCCAAAGAACUCAGGACUGUAAGUCCUACUCAGGGGAAAUCCCUGCCACCCUAUUCUGGAAACGUACCGCACACAGUGCCAUGGUAGGAAACCCAUCCUGGAGGGCUGAAACACUUCAGGUCUUUGUUUCUAAGUGAUAGUUAAUUCUCUUUUGCCAGUCUGAUUGGGAGAGGCGAACCAGUAGUGGGUUUCCUAUCUACUGUAUAUUAAUGAUAAUUGACAAUGACUGAUCUGCUGCUAAUAUCUAAGUGCCAACAUAUUAAAUGGGUUAACCAUCCCACAGCCAGUAAAGAUACAACUUGUUAACAUUGUUAUCGUUGGAGGUGAGCAAGCAAACACAUUUUAUCCCCAUUUAACUCUGUAUUUUUGCAAUUAAAUUAACCUCACAAGGCCCUUUUUAUUUUAUGAACAUUUUAGUCAGAGGACCAGUCUGUUAACCUUUUAUUGCCUGUAAUCUAUUUCACACAUGACAUGGAAUACGUGGAUUGGAAUGUUAGCUAAAGCGAAUGUUGCCAAGGUUAUGGAAUUAACUGUAGAUAUGUUCAUUAAUUUUAAAGCUUAUGUAAAAAAAUAAAAAUGAAAUUCUGUUGAUUUAUAUUAGAUGAUGUAAAACUGUUUGAAUUAAACUGUUAACAUA